rnacentral:piRNA from 1 species
UUUUAACACAUGGGCCUCUGAAGACAUUC